UGAAGCAUCUGAAGCACCGCCAGGCGCGU
rnacentral:sRNA from 1 species